UCAUGAUUUACGAAUCAUGAAAAUUAUAAAUUGCUCUUGGGACGAAAUCAUGAUUCAGACUCAUGAUUUUUGAAGCUGAGCUACCACUAUCAUGAUUCAGAGCAACCAUUUUCAUGAACUCCAAAUCAUGACCAUGAAAAGCGUUACGCACACGGUGCACCUGUCAAAACGUGUUUAGCAAAGCUUGUGCAAAGCAUAGUUGGCUGCGCAUUUUUUUUAAAAAAAAGUUCACUUUUAUUGCCGGUUUCCUGCGCCGCUGUUGCUCUACUGUCGUUCCUGCUCUACUAUUCCGUUCCUGCUCCGUUGAUAUCGAGCUAUUCCGGCUCUGCAGAACUACCGCCGUUUCAUUCUGUUCCUUUCCUGCCGUGGCUGUUGCCCGUUCCGGCUCCUGUGUACCCGUUCCGGCUCUGCAUUGAGGGAAAAUUCUUCCGGCUCCGCUCUACUAACUACCGCCGUUUUAUUGUCCCAGUGCCACUGUCGCCAUUCCCGCCGCGGCUGUUGCCGUCCAAUAGGUGCAUCCGUUCCGGCUCCGCAUUGAGUGACCAGCUCCGCCCUACCAACUACCG